AUCGAUGAAGAACGCAGCGAAAUGCGAUAAGUAAUGUGAAUUGCAGAAUUCAGUGAAUCAUCGAAUCUUUGAACGCACAUUGCGCCCCUUGGUAUUCCGGGGGGCAUGCCUGUUCGAGCGUCAUUUCAACCCUCAAGCUCAGCUUGGUAUUGGGCCCUGUCGGUAAAACGACAGGCCUUAAAAUCAGUGGCGGCGCCGUUGGGUCCUGAACGUAGUAAUAUAUUUCGUUACAGGUACUUGAUGUGCUUCUGCCAUUAAACCCCCAAUUUUCUAUGGUUGACCUCGGAUCAGGUAGGGAUACCCGCUGAACUUAAGCAUAUCAAUAAGCGGAGGAAAAGAAACCAACAGGGAUUGCCUCAGUAACGGCGAGUGAAGCGGCAUAAGCUCAAAUUUGAAAUCUGGCUCUUUCAGGGUCCGAGUUGUAAUUUGUAGAAGAUGUUUCGGGUGUGGUUCCGGUCUAAGUUCCUUGGAACAGGACGUCAUAGAGGGUGAGAAUCCCGUAUGUGACUGGAUACCUACGCUCAUGUGAAACUCUUUCGACGAGUCGAGUUGUUUGGGAAUGCAGCUCAAAAUGGGUGGUAUAUUUCAUCUAAAGCUAAAUAUUGGCCAGAGACCGAUAGCGCACAAGUAGAGUGAUCGAAAGAUGAAAAGCACUUUGGAAAGAGAGUUAAACAGUACGUGAAAUUGUUGAAAGGGAAGCGCUUGCAAUCAGACUUGCGCCUAGUUGAUCAUCUGGGCUUCUGCCUAGUGCACUCAAUUAGGCUCAGGCCAGCAUCGGUUUGGGUGGUUGGAUAAAGGCUUAGGGAACGUGGCCCCCUUCGGGGGGUGUUAUAGCCCUAGGUGCAAUGCAGCCUACCUGGACCGAGGACCGCGCUUCGGCUAGGAUGCUGGCGUAAUGGUUGUAAGCGACCCGUCUUGAAACACGG
rnacentral:rRNA from 1 species